UGGAAACCAUGACUUUCAGUUUUGCUCUGUGACUGGUACUGUAACAUUUUUCCUGCUAUUAUGAAGAGGAUUAGAGACCUUGUAACAGCUGCUUUGAGUGCAAUAGACAGGGCUUGUCUGCGAGUCGCCUCUUUCGUUCCCAGCCCAAGAGCUGGUAUCUUCUCUUUCGCCGUGCAGUGUGCCGGACAGGCUCCCUGGAUCUCCUGCCGCAGGUCCAGUUCAGGCCGAGCAGCGGGUCAGAACUCGCUGCUGCGCCGUGCUGCUCCUUUCUCAGGAGAGCGUGCGGGAGGUGUAACCGGGAGCUCUGCCCUCAGCCUGUGGUAAUAACAUCAGGUGACUCUGCUGGCAUCUGGACUGACAGCAUAGUCCAGCUUCUUACCACAUCACCAGCGUUCCCAGAAGACUUCAGGGACAUAAACACGCGCCCGCGAGCUGGGUGAUGAUGUAAGUUUUAGAUGGACACUUGUUUUUUUCUGUGCAGUUAGCUCCUUCCAGCUGGUAAUAAGAAUUUUUUUUUGUGUGGCCGCUCGCUCAGGUCUGGUGCCGGUGGGUUGUGGGUCUGUCCUGUCCUGUCCUGUUGCCUCCCCCUCCCUUCCAAAUUUUCCUUUCAUGUUUGUUAUCUGAUCCUUUAUUUUUUUUCCUUUUCGUGCUCUAUCUGACACUUAGUGAAGUAUCUCUCCAGGCCUGUUCAGUAUACGGUAUCUGGAGCUCCUUCACAGGAAAGCUCUGUCGAUCGUCUUAGUUUUGCAGCAAGGAACCCUUGAGGCCACAAGGUGCACCUGCAGGGUCAGAAGACAGGGGGCGCUGCUUGGCAGCAGGGAUGGGCAGUGCAGG
rnacentral:lncRNA from 1 species